CAUCUGAUUUUAUGAUGUCUAAAUGGGGUAUGAUAUAUUCUCGAUCUAAUACCAAACUAACUUUGUAUUUGAUUUUAAGUCAAGAAACUUUGUCCUCUCGAUCAAGCAUGACUUUUAUCAACAUUGAUGAAGAUGAAAGUGAACAGAACAAUGACAAUGAUAUUUUCAAAACAACCAUAAAUUUCCUCUUAUCAAAUUGACGAAGUACCAAAAUCAAAGGUAUGCAAUCAACGCUAAAUCCUUAAUGUAAUUUAUAUUUGUUUUACAUUAUAUAAACUUAUAUCUAUAUCAUAUUCUUUUCUUUUUGUUUUGGAUCACCUAUUUUAAUAUAAAUUUUUUAUUGUUUUUCAUAUUUCAAUUGUACAAAUAUGUAUAACUGUAUUUGAUUGAAUUGACUUAAGUAAAGAUUUAAUUUUUGAAAGAUAAAAAAUAGUUUGCAUUCGUGCAUAUAUUAAAUAAAUCCUAUGAUAAAAUAGUUUAUGUUAUCUAUAUCUUUAAAAUUUCACUAAUACUUUUUCAAUAUUUUAAAAUAACUUUAUAUGUUUUGUCUUAUGUAGGGAAGGAAGUGGAAGAAUUUGAAUGGAUAGUAAAUUUAGACAAGUAUGAAAGGGCGAAGAUUGUAUUCCAUAACAUGAGAGGUUGUGUCCAAGACUUGAGUGUGUGUGACUUUUCAGUCACAUGACGAUAACUUAACCGUUGCGCCAAGGCUCCUCCUUUCUCGUUGAUGUGUUAAUGGGAAGAAAACUCGUUGACAAAAGAAGGCCGGAAAAGGAACGAAGUUUUGUUUGAAUGUGAAAACCAUACUUGAAAAAACCUUGCUCCCUCAUUUUCUUUCACCAAACCUCCCCUUGUAGUUGAAAUCAAAUAAGAUAUGAUAUGUGAUGCAUCACUAUCUUAUCUUAAACAAAUGAGAUUAUAUAUACGUACUUUAAGGGUUAGUAUUUAAACCAAAACUUGAUUAUCUUUCAUUCAUUUUUGUAAAAAAUAUAUAUAUAAAGUUUUUGUAUGUCGUUGUUAUUUGUGUAAAUUUUUAAUCAUGAGACAAAAUUUGAG
rnacentral:lncRNA from 1 species